rnacentral:rRNA from 1 species
GGCGGACGGGUGAGUAACGCGUAAAGAACUUGCCCUUUAGACUGGGAUAACAGAGGGAAACUUCUGAUAAUACUGGAUAAGUUAGUAUAUCGCAUGAUAUGCAAAUGAAAGCUACGGCACUAAAGGAGGGCUUUGCGUCCUAUUAGCUAGUUGGUAAGGUAAGAGCUUACCAAGGCGAUGAUAGGUAGCCGGCCUGAGAGGGUGGACGGCCACAGGGGGACUGAGAUACGGCCCUUACUCCUACGGGAGGCAGCAGUC